UAGGGUCCACAGCAACCCGCUUUCAGGUCCCCUCCUGUCUCUCAGGAGCUAUCUCUCCGAAUAAAUAUUUCCUAUUCCUUUUUUUUUUUUUUUGGCACCGGGGAUUGAACUUGGGACCUUGCACUUUCGAGGCAGGCGGUGAUAUUUCCUACUCUUGACCACCAUUGUUCCUUAGAAUUCAUUCCUUGAUUUGGGGGAAUGCUAACUUGGCAUAUUGACACCUAGAAGGUUGGGAGUUACAUUUAUUUCCCCUGUUUCAUUGGGAGCUAGCCUGUGAGAUGACCUUUGGUGAUCCUUAGGAGACUGAGUCUCCACCAGCUGUUUAAACUAGGGUUACUUUGACCGCUGGAAUACGGCACGUCUCAUGCAGAAGACAUGGGCACUGGUGGCAGCUUUCCACAGCGUUGUCUUAGACUGUAUGUGCUGGGGAAGCCAGGCACUGUGGAAAGGUCCAGAAGAAUGAAAGUCUCUACCAGAAGACAGCACCAACUUGCCAGCCAUGUAUCCGAGGGUCUGAUCAGCCCACGGCAGUCACCCCUUGUUGCUUUGCUGUCUUCUGUCCAUCAUGGACUGUUUCUGCAAUGCCCCUUUGCAUUGCCACCCUGCCUUGCAGCCAGCCAGUUAUGAACUGAAACCUCUACAAACUGUUAGCUAAAUAAACCUUUCCUCCCUUAACUUGUGUCAGGUAUUUUGUCUUAGCAAUGAGAAAAGUUAACUAAGAUGCUCAGAAUCUGAGACUCAAGCAAGCCAAUAUCCAUGAUCAACGAACACUACUUGUUUCCUUUUACCUCUCCUUUGAAAUUGAGUAGUCAUUCCGCCGCUUACCUCGCAAGCACAAGGACCCAAGUUUGAUCCCCGGUACCAAAAAAAAAAAAAGAAAGAAA
rnacentral:lncRNA from 1 species